GGGGGGACCCUCNAUCCAGCCAUGCCGCGUGUGUGAAGAANGCCUUAUGGUUGUAAAGCACUUUAAGCGAGGAGGAGGCUACUUUAGUUAAUACCUAGAGAUAGUGGACGUUACUCGCAGAAUAAGCACCGGCUAACUCUGUGCCAGCAGCCGCGGUAAUACAGAGGGUGCGAGCGUUAAUCGGAUUUACUGGGCGUAAAGCGUGCGUAGGCGGCUUAUUAAGUCGGAUGUGAAAUCCCCGAGCUUAACUUGGGAAUUGCAUUCGAUACUGGUGAGCUAGAGUAUGGGAGAGGAUGGUAGAAUUCCAGGUGUAGCGGUGAAAUGCGUAGAGAUCUGNAGGAAUACCGAUGGCGAAGGCAGCCAUCUGGCCUAAUACUGACGCUGAGGUACGAAAGCAUGGGGAGCNAACAGGAUUAGAUACCCUGGUAGUCCAUGCCGUAAACGAUGUCUACUAGCCGUUGGGGCCUUUGAGCCUUUAGUGGCGCANCUAACGCGAUAAGUAGACCGCCUGGGGAGUACGGUCGCAAGACUAAAACUCAAAUGAAUUGACGGGGGCCCGCACAAGCGGUGGAGCAUGNNCGUUUAAUUCGAUGCAACGCGAAGAACCUUACCUGGCCUUGACAUACUAGAAACUUUCCAGAGAUGGAUUGGUGCCUUCGGGAAUCUAGAUACAGGUGCUGCAUGGCUGUCGUCAGCUCGUGUCGUGAGAUGUUGGGUUAAGUCCCGCAACGAGCGCACCCUUUUCCNUNCCUUGCCAGCANUUUCGGAUNGGGAACUUUAANGAUACUGCCAGUGACAACUGGAAGGAAGGNGGGGAACCAACUNCAANUCNUCUUGGCCCUUUNGGCCGGGG
rnacentral:rRNA from 1 species